GCCGACGUGGAGCCGUGACACGCUGGACCCUGAAGGAUCGUCGAUUACGACGAGGAAACAGAACAGGACUCCAUCUAGCGCCGGAGGCUCAACGUGCGCGGCUCCUCCGCUCAAAUCGCCGUCGCCCGUUCACCGCGCGGCUGCCCCUGCGGGAGAUCCGCCUAGCCGCCUGCGCCCCGGGGGGCCAGGGACUUCGUGGAGGCAGCUAAUCUUCUUUAAGGGGGAAGUGGUAACAAUGGAAGAGGUCCAAAACUGUGUGGUCAAGCUGCGGAGCAAUCCUAAGCGGCACAGGGAUAAAGUGUAUGUUGGCUGUGGGGCUGGAUUUGGAGGAGACAGUCCAAUGGCUGCUCUGAAAUUACUGGAGCAAGUCAAGGAGCUUAACUACAUAGUGCUUCAUUGUUGAGCGAACUCUUGCAGAUCGCUACCAAAUUAUGGUGUCUGGAGGGAAAGGAUAUGAUCCCCGAGCGUCCCUGAUAGCCGCUUGCACGUUGUUUGGUUGCCUGCCUUAUCUGCUGCCAGUCUCUAAUGCACUCUGCUCAGGCCUAGGCUCACAUAAGUGGUCGCCUGGCUCAGGCAUGGGUCUUCAUGUGCAGGUCCAGGGUUCCAAUAUAAACCCUCCAGCUUGAUCAGUUCUAAAUUCGAGCACAGUAUUCCAGUUUUCAGUAAGGUCACACUGCAAGUUCUGGAAACAACCAUCAUUCCUUAGUUUCCAGAGCACCCACAAGUCAGCAGUACUGAAGAUAUUCACAACAGCAAGUUUCUUAGGACUUCUACCUAUCGCUCUACCUGGAAGGCUGGAAUACGUGAAAUGGCAUGCCACGUUGCUGAGCAACAAACACCAUUGAAAAACUGAAACUGGACCGAUUCUUUUUGCAAAAUGAGCAUUCAUGUUUUUUUUUCACCUUCUGUCUCUUGCUCAAGUUGCUCUAGCUAGUUAGAAAUUUGUUCUUAGACAACAGCCAAAGGAAAAUGUGAAUUCUGAGGGGAACCUGAAUUUACCAAAUGGAGGGUACAUAAACAGGCAAUAAUUCCUCUAAAAUUCACUAUUCUGUAGAAAGGAGAACUAUAAAUGCCAGAAGAAGUAAAUUUG